AUGUGUUUAAAAAAAAAUCCUAUAAGGCGCCACUUCAUGUAAAGCGGAGCACUGCCUUGCCAUCUCUAGACCGCAUCAGUGCGUUGCCUUACCAACGCCUUAAAAACUAUGCAUGCACCACACUCAUACAUAUACAUGUUAGAAAGACCCUAAGUGCAACCUAAGUAGAUUGGUCUCAUGCUCAUAUUUGAUAGACAAUCAAAAACACAAAACAGAGACGAUCCGGUACUUACCGGAUUGAACCGGUAACUACCGGAUAGCCUUUGUGAUGAAAAAUUUCUUAGAUAUGACCAAUAGAGACCAUCUGGUACCUACUGGAUGGAUCCGGAUAUUCUUCCGGUUGGUCGGAUUGGUUCCGGAUGAGAUUUACAUCUCAGAUAUGGCCAACAAAGGCCAUCCGGUAUCUACCGGAUUGAACCGGUACCUACCGGAUGCCUCCUGAACACCUCUAAUGGCUAUAUUUUGGACACAAAGGUUAGUUUUAUGAGUCUAACGGCUAUAUUGUGGGCAACGGUAACAUGAUCCGGUACCUACCGGUUGAGACAAUUUUUUCCCGUUUGAGUUUAUACUCAUUCCUAAAUUGGAGAUACUGUUACCCAAAUUAAGCCCAACCCUCUCCCAUAUAAAUACCCCACUAAUGGCUUUAUUAAUAACCAAUUAAGUGAGCAUUAAACAAUCAUUAGCAAAGCCAUUAAGUGACAGUCAAACAUUAUUCUUUGAGUUCCAACUUUGUGAUUAAAGCUCAAGUUCCAAGGAACUCAAGUGCUGGUUAGAAGGCUCCAUCAACCUUCAUAUACAAAAGGAGACAACUAAGGUGCAAUUUUUUAUUCAUUUCAUAUUCAUAGCACGCACCGCACGAGGUAACUCAAACUUUAUUCCACUUUUCUUUAUUACACUUGUCUAGACUAUACUUAGGCUAGUGUAGGAUUCUCUUAUCCAAAUAAGAUUGUAAGGGUGCUUCUCUACCCAUAAAGGAGAUUGUAAAGGUGCCUCUCUACCUAUAAAGGAGAUUGUGUAAAAGGUUUUCUUCCCUACCUACUGUACUGAAAGGGAGUACUAGUGGAAUACCUUACAAGAGGAUCUUGUAGGGAGUGGACUAGAUUCGGAUUGAGUCGAACCACUAUAAAUCUUGGUGUACCACUAUAAAUCUCGGUGUAGUGUGAUUGUGAAUUUUUAUUCCGCACUAGUUUUUAAUUCAUAGUCACAUUUGGGAAUCCGAUAUAUUCGAAAAGAUUUUAAUUCCACUAGUAUAACCUAUUCAUCCCCCCUCUAGGUUAUUUCAUGUUUCUUCGUAUUUUCAUCUAAUCCAAUUUGGGGUGUGUAAGCACUAAUUAUAUUAAUUAUCCCUUUUCCUAACACAAGUUUAAUGGACAUUAUUUUAUCACCGAAUCUUUUAGCAUUGUACAACAUCAUUUUUUAUAUCUUUAUCUGCUACUACUCUCACCCCAUUUCUAUUAUUGUUGUCCCUAGUAUACCAAAGUCGAUGGUCAUCUAAUUCUUUAGCAUUUUUUCCUUCAAUCAUGUCUCUUGUAUACGAGCUAUGUUCGUUCUUCUUCUUCUUCUUCUUGUUACACAUGUCAAUUCCACACUUUUUUCCCAUUAAAUUUCCGAUGUUCCACAAUAUGCUAAUCUAGUCCUACGCUUUAUUUUGGCCAAGUGACAGAAUAAAGCUUUGAAAAUCCUGGACUACCGAGAAGGUGCUCACCUGGACAUGGGCUGCGGAAAGGGAACAUGUUUCUAUGAGACUGGCCACAUGUGGUGCUGUCCUCAUAUUUGAUAAUUGUAUUGAUGAUCCCAUCACUUGUAGAACAAAUGCUGUACUUUGAUACCAUGCCCAGGCCAGUUUUUUCUAUCCUUAA